rnacentral:tRNA from 1 species
GUUUAUGUAGUUUAUUCAAAACAUUUCAUCUUCAGUGAAAAAAUAAGUUUUACUUUAUAAAUA